ACUCUUAGUAGCUGCCUCACAAGAAACAGUUAAGCUUUAUAUAAAACAGGAAGAUUUCAUAUAUAAUCUGGAGCAUUUGAUCACAUAUAAGCCAUGAAAAGAAAUUAGUGAAAGUGGAUAUUAGGGGUUUGCCUGGAAUCCUUAUGUUGCAUAAGUAGUGAGCGGGGCUGUCCGUUGAGAUGGUCAGGAUCUCUUCGCACCCCCGUUGAACGCCGAUGAGGCAGACGAACCAUCGAAGACUCCCUGCCAAGUAUGAAUUUUGACUGACCGAAUGUGGUGGCAUAUAGAUAAUAACUUGAAAGGGGUUGGGAUGGUUUACCUCUUGAUUUGGGAUGGAAUGGUGAGGAAAGAAAGGAGAGUGGGGGACACAAGAGAGAAACAAAGGAGUUGUUACCUGUCGAUAAGGGGUAGGCUUGUGAUUCUACUCACUGACUGAUGGUAUUGUCCUCGAUCAUUGCCCAUAGAUGUG
rnacentral:lncRNA from 1 species